ACUGACCUGUGAGUGGUGGUUCAUGGGCAAAUGAGUGGAAACGUUAUUAUCCCUUGUCCAGAGGAAACUGGGCAGUACCAGAAGCACCACCUGUGGCACCCAGAGCUGCUCAGAGGAAGGUCUGAAAAUCACAAACCUCAGACUAACCCCUUCAUUUGAGAAACUGGGGCCCAGAGGGCUGAAGUGACUUUUGCAGUGUCAUGAAAUUGUCAACCAAAGGACUGAAUCCCAGCGCACUGUGCUUUCAGCUGUUUUACCCUAUAUUCCUGAAGGAUGAGUUCUAUAGAAUAGAUUAGCUCCUAUCAGUGGGUAGCCCUCUAGGGAGAGAACUGUCAGAGGGUUUUGUUCACACCUUGUUUCAAAUGCUGCUGCUCCUUCAGGACUGUGGACACGGAGACCUGCUUCCUAAGACUUCCCUCCCCACUUGGCAAUCAUCUUGAAUUUGUAUUAGAAGUAAGGAAAUGGGACUGCUUUCUCCAAAUAUUUAUAAUGACUUUAUUGCUCUGAAUUGCCACACAUCAGAGAGAACUUUUAACCAUUAGGGGUCUUGACUUCCUAUUUGUGAAAAGUGGAGUGACUCUGAUCAAGAAGGCUCAACUCCUUUUGGUUGGAGAUCACAGGAAUGGCAUCAUGUCAUGAUGGCCAUAGGGGAGCCACACCAGCUGUACUGUCCCCAGUGGAAAGAGCCAGGACCCAGGACAGGCAGUGACAGCUUCCCAGGGAACCCCCUGUCGAAGACCCACUAAGAUACACUUCCUCCAGUGCUGUAGGUGUGGCCUAUCCCCAUUAUGAGGAUCCCAGUCAGGCUCAGCAAUGGCAACACCAGAUUUGCUUCUGGAGUUCCAGCUGGAUCUUCUAGAUGAAGCUGGGACGAUGAAUGGAAAAGAUACAAAGUGAAAAGUUGAGUCACAUGGAGGGGAUCCUCUUGGACCACCCUUAUCCUGGCUUCUUUUCCACCUGCCUCUAGGAAGCUUAAGCUUCUAGCUUUCCUAAACAAGGAUGGUGUCUACAUUUGUGAACCAGAGAGGAACUCUGCAUGAAGUCUUGAAAGGUGAGUCUUCAAAGUAUCUUCACCAAGAGUGGAUUCCAUCUCAAGAAACUACUUUCUUUAGAGCAUCAUCUUCCAACAUAAAGCUGUUUUGUCUACACUGAAAAUAUUUUGUUUAGUAGAGCAACCUUCAUUAUCUCAGCUAGAUCUUCUGGAUAACUUGCUGCAUUUUCACAUCAGCAUUUACUGCUUCACUCAUACUUUUAUGCUAUGGAGAUGGAUUCUCUUUUUAAACCUCAUAAACUAAGUCCUCCUAGCUUCAAACUUUUCCUCUACAGCUUCCUCACAUCUCUCAGCCUUCAUAGAAUUGAAGAGAGUUAGGACCUUACUCUGGAUUAGGCUUUGGCCUAAGGAAACAUUGUGGUAGGUUUGAUCUAUCCAGACCACUAAAACUCAUGCCAUAUCAGUGAUAAGAUUGUUUUGCUUUCUUAUCAUUCAUGCGUUCACUGGAGUAGCACUCCAUGUGUUCACCAGGUGGCUUCUGUGGCAUAUGGAAGUUCCCAGGCUAGAGAUCAAAUUGGAGCUGCAGUUGCCGGCCUAUGGUGCAGCCACAGCAUUGCCACAUCUGAGCCAUGUCUGUGACCUAUACCACAGCUCACAGCAACACCAGAUCCUUAACCCACUGAGUGACAUGGAUACUAGUCAGGUUCACUUCUGCUGAACCACGAUAGGAACUCCUCUUCUUUUCACUUGAAAACUUAGAGGCCACUGUAGGGUUAUUAAUUGGCCUAAUUUUGAUAUUGUUAUAUCUUAGGUUGGGGGAGAGAGAGAGUGAGGAAUGGCUUGUAAGUUGAGCAGUUGGAACAUACACGUUUAUCAAAUUUGCCAUCUUAUAUGGUCAUAGUUUGUGGAACCCUAAAACAAUUGCAAUAGCAACAUCAAAGAUCACUAAUUACAGAUAACCAUAACAAAUAUAAUAAUUUAAAAGUUUGAAAUAUUAUUACCAAAAUUUGACAUAGAUGCAAAGUAAGGACCUCUUGGAAAAACAGUGACAAUAGACUUGCUCGACACAGGGUUGCCAAAAAUCUUGUUUGUAAAAUAUGCAAUAUCUGUGAAAGCUAGAGUUGCUAUACUACUAUCAGACAAAAUAGAUUUUAAAGCAAAUAAUGUUAAUAGAGAGAUAAAGAGGAAAGUUUUCUAAUGAUAAAAGGGUCAGUCAACCAUGGAUAAAUGGCAAUUAUAAAAUAUGUAUCUAACAAAAGUUCCAAAAUACACAAAACAAAAACUGACAGAAUUAAAGAGAGAAAUAGACAAUCCAACAAUAAUGCAGACUUCAAUAUCCCACUUUAACAAUUGCUAGAACAACUAGGAAGAUCAACAAAGUAACAGAAGACUUGAGUGUUAUAAACCAACUAGACUUCACAGACAUUCAUAGAAUGCUUCACCCUAAAACAGUAGACUAAACAUUCUUAUCAAGUGCAUUGGGCAUACUUUCUAGGAUAACAAAGCAUGUACUAUGCCAUAAAAAAAAGCAUGUAUACGUGUGUGUGUAUCUAUAUCCAGCAUGCAAAGUGUUCUCUGACCACAUAAAGUGAAACCAGAAAUUGAUAAUGGCAACAAAUUUGGGAAAUUCACACAUAUGCAAAACUUAAAAUAUUACUAAAUAAUAUUUAGUAAAGAAGGAACAAUGAGGGAAAUUAGAAAAUACUUUGAGAUGAAUGAAAAUGAAGGAACAAUAUGCUAAAACUUAUAGGAUGCAGCUAAAAGUAGUGCUUUAAGGGAUAUUUACAGCUGUAUGCACCCAUGUUAUAAAAGAAUAAAGUUCUCAAGUAAAUAAAUUAACCUUCCAUCAUGAGACAAUGAAGAAAGAAGAGUAAAAUAAACCUAAAGCAGGAAGAAGGAAGGAAAUGUAAAGAUGAGAGGAGAAAUCUAUAAAAUAUAGAAUAGCAAUAGAGAAAAUAAAUGAAACCAAAAGGGGGUUCCUUUGAAAAGAUCAACAAAAUUGACAAAACUUUAACUGGACUGUCUGAGAAAAAAAAAAAGAAGGCUCCCAUUACUAAAAUCAGGCAUAAAAGGGGGAAAUAACUAUUAAUAGGAGUGAAAUUUAAAAAAGAAUAUUAGGAAAUACUGUGAACAAGUGUGUGCCAACAAAUUACAUAAAUUACAUGAAAUAGAUAAAUUCCUAAAAAAUAUGCAACUACCAAAGCUGACUAAAGGAUAAACAAAAUCUGAAUGACCUAUAACAAGAGAUAGUAUUAGCACUUCUAAAAUUUCUUUCAAAGAGAAGCCCAGACCCAAAUGGUUUUAUUGUUGAAUUCUAACAAAUUUUAAAAAGAACACCAAUUACUCACAAACUCUUUUAAAAAUAGAUGAGGGAUCACUUCUCAACUCAUUCUAUGAAGUUUUUAUUACCCUAAUACCAAAACCAGACAGACAAUAAAGAAAACUAUAGAACAAUAUGUCUUAUAGAGACAGAAAAAUUCUCAGCAAAAUAUUAGCAAGCCAAAUCCACUGACUCUUAAAAAGGAUUAAACAUCAUGCCUAAGUAGGAUUUAUCUCAGAAAUUCAAGAUGAGUUUCACAUGGUGAAUAUUAAUAUAACGUAUCCAUAGAUUAAAGGAACAAAACCCAUGUGAUCAUCCCAAUAGAUACCCCAAAAGCAUUUGACAAAAUGUAACAUUCUUUCAUAAUUAAAACUUCAGCAUACUAGUGGGGAACUUCUCCAAUGUGAUAAAGGGAUGUUUGAAAAACCCACAGCUAACAAUGUACAGGUUUGCAUCCUAUGAUAUGGGUUCACAUUCACAGAUAUGGAGGGAUGACUACAAGGGACUUUAAUAUCAUGGGUUUUAGUAUUUAUGAGGCAUUUGGGGAGUACUGAAACUAAUCCCUCAAUGAUACUGAAAGAUGACCGUAUUUAGUUGCUUAAGACUGAAAGCUUCCCCUAAGCCGAGGAAAGAGGCAAAGAUACCUACUUUCAACACUGCUUUUCAGCCUUGUACUGGAGGUUCUAGGCAGGGCAAUUAGGCAAGAAUGAGAAAUAAAGAGAUAUUCAGAUUGGAAUGGAAGAAUUCAAACUAUCUAUUUGCAGGUGACAUGAUACUCUAUAUAGAAAAUCCUAAAUAAUUUACUAAAUAACUAUUAGAAAAAAAUAAUUAGUUCAGCAAGGUUGCCAAGUAUAAGAUCAAAUAUGCAAAAAUCAACUCUUUCUAUAAAUUAUCAGUGAACAAUCUGCAAAUGAAAUUAAUAAAAUAAUUCUAUUUAUAGUAGCAUCAAAAAGAAUACUUAGGAAAAAAGUGCAAAUUUAUUCUCUGAAAAUUACAAAACAUUUUUCCAAUUAAUUAAAGAAGAUCUAAAAAAAAAAAGGAGUAAUUUCAUGUUCAUGGAUCAUAGAUCAAUGGAAUGGGAUUCAAAGUCCAGAAAUAAAUCCUUACAUACAUAAUCAAUUGCUUUUUGACAAAAGUGCUGAGACAAUUCAAUGUGGGUAAGAAUAGUUUGAAUAGUAUAUUUUACAAAUGGUUCUGGGACAACUGGAUAUUUGUAUACUAAAGAGUGAAGUUGGAACAGUUCCUCGUGCCACCAAGAUCAACUCAAAAUCGUUUAUAGACCUAAAUGUUACAGCAAAUCUACAAAACUCCUAAGAGUAUAUAUAACUGAAAAUAAUCUGAAAAGGAAUAUUUAUAUAUUACAUCUAUAUACAGAAUACAUAUCUAUAUUUGAAUCACUUUGCUGCACACAUGAAACUAACACAAUAUUGUAAAUCGACUAUAGUUCAAUAAUUAAAAAAGAAAAUAUAUGAAUAAAUUUUCGUGACCUUAGGUUAGACAAAGUCUUUGUAGAUAUGAUCAACAGCACAAGUGAAAAAAGAAAAUAGACACAUUCAAAUUCAUCAAAAUUAAAAACUUUUGUGUUUCAAAGAACAUCAUUUAAAAAAUAAAAAGACUAUAUUCUCUUCUAGGAGUUUUAUGGUGUCUUGUCUUAUGUUUAAGUCUUUAAGCCAUUUUGAGUUUACUUUUGUGCAUGGUAUGAGGGUGUUCUAGUUUCAUCGAUUUACAUACAGCUGUCCAGUUUUCUCAGCACCACUUGCUGAAGAGACUGUCUUUUUCCUCCUUUAUAAUCUUGCCUCCUUUGUCAAAGAAUAAUUGACCAUAGGAGUCUGGGUUUAUUUCUCAGUUCUUUAUUCUGUUCCAUUGGUCUGUAUGUCUGUUUUUGUACCAGUACCACACUGUCUUGAUUACUGUGGCUUUGUAAUAUUGUCUGAAGUCUGGGAGAGUUAUGCCUCUGUUGGUUUUUCCCCCUCAGAAUUACUUUGGCAAUUCUGGGUCUUUUAUGGUUCCGUAUAAAUUUUUGGAUUAUUUGUUCUAGUUCUGUGAAAAUGUCAUGGGUACUUUGAUAGGGAUUGCAUUGAAUCUGUAGAUUACUUUGGGUAGUAUGGCCAUUUUAACAAUAUUAAUUCUUCCAAUGCAGGAACAUGGAACAUCUUUCCAUUUCUUUGAAUCAUCUUUAAUUUCUUUGAUUAAUGUUUUAUAGUACCCAGUGCAUAAGUCUUUCACUUCCUUGGCCAGGUUUAUUCUUAUGUUUUUAAUUUUUUGUGGUGCAAUUUUAAAAGGAAUUAUAUUUUUAUAUUCUUUUUCUAAUAUUUCAUUGUUAGUAUACAGAAAUGAAACUGAUUUCUGAAUGUUAAUUUUGUAUCCUGCUAUUUUACUGAAUUCAUUGAUUGGUUCGAGUAAUUUUUGUGUGGAGCCCUUAGGGUUUUCUAUAUAUAAUAUCAUGUCAUCUGCAUAGAGUGACAAUUUUACCUCUUCUCUUUCAAACUGGAACUUUUAUUUCUUUUGUUUGUCUGAUUGCUAUGGUCAGGACUUCCAAUACUAUGUUGAAUAAAAGUGGGUGAGAGUG
rnacentral:lncRNA from 1 species